rnacentral:rRNA from 1 species
AGCUCCAAUAGCGUAUAUUAAAGUUGUUGCAGUUAGAACGCUCGUAGUCGGAUUUCGGGUCGAUUGUGCCGGUCUGCCGUUGGGUAUGCACUGGUGGAGUCGUCCUUCCUUCCGGAGACCGUGCCUCCUCUUAACUGAGUGGGUGCGGGAGACGGAUCGUUUACUUUGAAAAAUCAGAGUGUUUCAAGCAGGCAUUUGCUCUUGCAUGGAUUAGCAUGGGAUAAUGAAAUAGGACUUUGGUGCUAUUUUGUUGGUUUCGAACACCGAAGUAAUGAUUAAAAGGGACAGUCAGGGGCACUCGUAUUCCGCAGAGAGAGGUGAAAUUCUCAGACCCGCGGAAGACGAACCACUGCGAAAGCAUUUGCCAGGGAUGUUUUCA